AUGACUCCUCAUGUGAUCGGUUUGUUCUGACACAAAUUCCCUGCCACUGCCACCCAGCGUCCUCAUCAAAGGCCCAAAGCAAUGGACUUGAAUUUCCAGAACCAGGAGGUCCUUCCUCCCUAAAGAUGUACAUUCUUAUUCUUCCCUCUUGCUCAAAACCUGGACACCAAGGCACUUGCUCACGGUGCUGGACCUGGCUACAAAGAACCAUUGGCAUCACAUAAGAAGAUAACUCUGUAAAAACUCCUACUGGAAAAAAAGCAAGGGAAGAAAGAGAUGAGCAAAUUGCAGCAUGCUUUCUGGGACCAUUAAAGAUGACCCUGUGGAUAUUGGGUACAAGGCUUGGUAAGAACGGAAAAGACAAAUAUAUCAAAUGUUUGAACAACCAGGUCCUAGCUGACUGUGAUUCACCAGAAGGAUUAAUGAUUAAAUUCAUUUUGUAAAGUC